rnacentral:lncRNA from 1 species
CGAUGAAAUCGAAGAGAAUAGAGGUAACUUGAAGAAGAUAAUCGUAAAGAAGCAUCUUUCUUACUCUAUAACUCUCUCUAGAUCUCUCUCUCUCUCUGUGUAUGCUUUUUUUCGUUUCUCUCUAAUUUUAGGGUUAGCCCACAAAAUUUGAAGAUCUGUUUAAUGUUCCUUUGCUUUAUAUUUCUCCUAACCGUUGGGAUUUGAUAACAUUAUAGAUUAAAUCUAACCGUUGGGAAUUUGAUAUUAUAGAGGUAAUCUUAAUUAGAUUCGAUUUCCUUUACUAAUAAUAAUAAUAUCAAUCUAACCAAAAAGGAAAUUUCGAUUUGGUUGAAACCUUUUGUUUUUUUGAUAAUAUAACACGUUUACAAAGAAUCAUCUAUUUUUCUCACACAAUUUUUAUCAAAAAGUAAGAGAGAACAUGAUGGAUGAUGAUGAUCAGUUUAAUAAGGCAAUCUUGGUUCGUGAAGCA